rnacentral:rRNA from 1 species
GCCACUGCUAUUGGGGUUCGGCUAAGCCAUGCGAGUGGAGGGCGUCCCGCAAGGGAUGGCCCCGCAGACGGCUCAGUAACACGUCGUCAACCCACCUUAGGGUGGGGGACAACCUCGGGAAACUGGGGCUAAUACCGGAUAGUGCAUCGAUUGCUGGAAUGCACGAUGUUCGAAAGCUGAGGCGCCCAAGGAUAGGUCUGUGGCCCGAUUAGGUUGUUGUUGAUGUAACG